rnacentral:rRNA from 1 species
AUGCCUUUGCCUGUACCUAGUGUUCCUUGGGAGGAUAUAUCUAUGGACUUUGUUUUAGGUUUACCUCGAACAAAGAAGGGGAGGGAUAGCAUAUUUGUUGUCGUGGAUAGAUUCUCGAAAAUGGCACACUUUAUACCAUGUCAUAAAAGCGAUGAUGCUGUUAAUGUUGCUGAUUUGUUCUUUCGUGAAAUUAUUCGCUUGCAUGGUGUGCCAAAUACUAUUGUUUCAGAUCGUGAUACUAAAUUUCUUAGCCACUUUUGGAGAUGUUUAUGGGCUAAGUUGGGGACUAAACUGCUUUUUAGUACUACUUGUCACCCCCAAACUGAUGGACAAACUGAAGUAGACAAUAGAACGUUGUCUACUAUGCUUAGGGCUGUUUUGAAGAAUAAUAAGAAAAUGUGGGAGGAAUGCUUGCCUCAUAUUGAAUUUGCUUAUAAUCGUUCAUUGCAUUCUACUACUAAGAUGUGCCCUUUUGAAGUUGUGUAUGGUUUCCUACCUCGUGCACCUAUUGAUUUGUUGCCUCUUCCAUCUUCGGAGAAGGUUAAUUUUGAUGCUAAACAACGUGCUGAAUUGAUUUUAAAAAUGCAUGAGUUAACUAAGGAAAACAUUGAGCGCAUGAAUGCUAAAUAUAAAGUUGCUGGAGAUAAGGGUAGAAAACAUGUUGUGUUUGCACCUGGAGAUCUUGUUUGGUUACAUUUGCGUAAGGAUAGAUUUCCUGAUUUGCGCAAAUCAAAGUUAAUGCCACGUGCUGAUGGUCCCUUUAAGGUGUUAGAGAAAAUAAAUGAUAAUGCAUAUAAACUUGAGCUGCCUGCAGAUUUUGGGGUUAGUCCCACUUUUAACAUUGCAGAUUUGAAGCCUUAUUUGGGUGAGGAAGAUGAACUUCUGUCGAGGACGACUUCAUUUCAAGAAGGGGAGGAUGAUGAGGACAUCAAUACAAUUGUUACACCCACAGCCCCUGCUGCUAUACAUACUGGACCAAUUACUAGAGCUCGUGCACGCCAACUAAAUUACCAGGUACUUUCAUUUCUUGGUAAUGAUUCUAAUGUUCAUGAGAAUAUGAUGCUGCCUAAAUUGGAUACAUUUGUUUUGCUUACAAAUGAGGGGCCUAGCUUGGAGAAGGAUGAACAUUGGAGCAAGAACAAGCAUGGAGAUGAUGGCAUGCGCAAGGGGAACAAGAACGGAGUUACAAGUGAUGAUUUCAGGACUUUGAAGCCACCAUAA